CCCUAGGGUCGUAAAGCUCUUUCGCCUGUGAAGAUAAUGACGGUAGCAGGUAAAGAAACCCCGGCUAACUCCGUGCCAGCAGCCGCGGUAAUACGGAGGGGGUUAGCGUUGUUCGGAAUUACUGGGCGUAAAGCGCACGUAGGCGGACCAGUCAGUCAGAGGUGAAAUCCCGGGGCUCAACCCCGGAACUGCCUUUGAUACUGCUGGUCUUGAGUUCGAGAGAGGUGAGUGGAAUUCCGAGUGUAGAGGUGAAGUUCGUAGAUAUUCGGAGGAACACCAGUGGCGAAGGCGGCUCACUGGCUCGAUACUGACGCUGAGGUGCGAAAGUGUGGGGAGCAAACAGGAUUAGAUACCCUGGUAGUCCACACCGUAAACGAUGAAUGCCAGUCGUCGGGUAGCAUGCUAUUCGGUGACACACCUAACGGAUUAAGCAUUCCGCCUGGGGAGUAC
rnacentral:rRNA from 1 species